GACGAACGCUGGCGGCGUGCUUAACACAUGCAAGUCGAACGGAAAGGCCCUGCUUUUGUGGGGUGCUCGAGUGGCGAACGGGUGAGUAACACGUGAGUAACCUGCCCUUGACUUUGGGAUAACUUCAGGAAACUGGGGCUAAUACCGGAUAGGAGCUCCUGCUGCAUGGUGGGGGUUGGAAAGUUUCGGCGGUUGGGGAUGGACUCGCGGCUUAUCAGCUUGUUGGUGGGGUAGUGGCGUACCAAGGCUUUGACGGGUAGCCGGCCUGAGAGGGUGACCGGCCACCUUGGGCCUGCGGUACGGCCCAGACUCCUACGGGCGGCAGCAGUGGGGAAUAUUGCGCAAUGGGCCGACGCCUGAUGCAGCAACGCCGCGUGCGGGAUGACGGCCUUCGGGUUGUAAACCGCUUUCGCCUGUGACGAAGCGUGAGUGACGGUAAUGGGUAAAGAAGCACCGGCUAACUACGUG
rnacentral:rRNA from 1 species